rnacentral:tRNA from 1 species
UUAACCGAAACCAAAAAAGAGGUAUAUCACUGUUAAUGAUAAAAUUGAGUAUUCUCCGGUUAAA